AUUGAACGCUGGCGGCAGGCCUAACACAUGCAAGUCGAGCGGGCCGGCAGACGGGUGAGUAAUGCCUAGGAAUCUGCCUGGGACCGGGGGAUAGCGUCCGGAACCGGGCGCUAAUACCGCAUACUCUCAGAUGAGCCUAGGCCGGAUUAGCUAGUGGGUGGGGUAAAGGCCUACCAAGGCGAAGAUCCGUAACUGGUCUGAGAGGAUGAUCAGUCACACUGGAACUGAGACACGGUCCAGACUCCUACGGGAGGCAGCAGUGGGGAAUAUUGGACAAUGGGCGAAAGCCUGAUCCAGCCAUGCCGCGUGUGUGAAGAAGGUCUUCGGAUUGUAAAGCACUUUAAGUUGGGAGGCGUUACCAACAGAAUAAGCACCGGCUAACUUCGUGCCAGCAGCCGCGGUAAUUC
rnacentral:rRNA from 1 species